AUCCUGUCAACGUUCCGCGCACAAGUCGCCCCACAGGGUGCCAGGUCACUCUGCAAACCUUGUUAAAACACCAGACCCACGUACACGAUGUUCUCCGGGCAGGAACAGAGCUCCAGCGCAAGGGCAAGGCUUCGCCAUGGCUAGCUACGUUCCUCACAUCUGGCUCCCGCGACGGCCGUGGAGCAGCAGCUGCACCAGUUCAUAUCUCGCGCUUCGAAUUUCUACACGAGAAUCACAGGCAAUGAGAUAAACCCGAACACCUUAGCUCUAGACGGUGUCAACGUUAUGGAAGAACGCUUAGCAAAUGAGCAAAGUGCUAUAUGCAACUGGUGAUUGGAACUCGAAGGGAUUCGUUCUCAAGGAAACAAGUAUGAUUGAGUAUCGCAAUGAAAUCAACGUGUUUCAACGCUCUCCGGCAUUUGGAAGGCUUGCAGAAGACAAUUGCCCAGAGGUGAACUUUGAGCUCAAUAAGCACCACUACAACAAAGGAUACUACCUAGUGAAUGAUAUCUAUCUUCAUUGAUCAACUCUUGUGAAGACAAUCUCCAAUCCGAUAGUAGAGAAGAGGUAUAGGUUUGCCUAAGCACAAGAGUUCAUCCAAUUUCAUACAGAAAUACAUGAUUAGGAAACUCACAUCCAACUCCAAAAUGACUUGGUUGAGCACAUGUGGGCUCAC